rnacentral:rRNA from 1 species
AUUGAACGCUGGCGGCAUGCCUUACACAUGCAAGUCGAACGGUAACAGGUUAAGCUGACGAGUGGCGAACGGGUGAGUAAUGUAUCGGAACGUGCCCAGUCGUGGGGGAUAACUGCUCGAAAGAGCAGCUAAUACCGCAUACGACCUGAGGGUGAAAGCGGGGGAUCGCAAGUCCUCGCGCGAUUGGAGCGGCCGAUAUCAGAUUAGGUAGUUGGUGGGGUAAAGGCCUACCAAGCCUACGAUCUGUAGCUGGUCUGAGAGGACGACCAGCCACACUGGGACUGAGACACGGCCCAGACUCCUACGGGAGGCAGCAGUGGGGAAUUUUGGACAAUGGACGCAAGUCUGAUCCAGCCAUGCCGCGUGCGGGAAGAAGGCCUCGG